rnacentral:rRNA from 1 species
UACGUAGGGGGCAAGCGUUGUCCGGAUUUACUGGGCGUAAAGAGCGCGCAGGCGGUCGUAUAAGUCGCGUGUGAAAGCCCCCGGCUCAACUGGGGAGGGUCACGCGAUACUGCUCGACUUGAAGGCAGGAGAGGGAAGUGGAAUUCCCGGUGUAGUGGUGAAAUGCGUAGAUAUCGGGAGGAACACCAGUGGCGAAGGCGACUUCCUGGCCUGUUCUUGACGCUGAGGCGCGAAAGCUAGGGUAGCAAACGGG